GGCAACUUGGCCGAGCGGUCUAAGGCGCCACGUUAAGGAGAUAUCCUUGAUCCCGAUCUUUACAGAUUCCGUGGUCCGAAAGGGCGUGAGUUCGAAUCUCACAGUUGUCA
rnacentral:tRNA from 1 species